rnacentral:rRNA from 1 species
CAGCCGCCGCGGGAAUACGGAGGGUGCAAGCGUUAUCCGGAUUUAUUGGGUUUAAAGGGUCCGUAGGCGGAUCUGUAAGUCAGUGGUGAAAUCUCACAGCUUAACUGUGAAACUGCCAUUGAUACUGCAGGUCUUGAGUAAAUUUGAAGUGGCUGGAAUAAGUAGUGUAGCGGUGAAAUGCAUAGAUAUUACUUAGAACACCAAUUACGAAGGCAGGUCACUAAGAUUUAACUGACGCUGAUGGACGAAAGCGUGGGGAGCGAACAGGAUUAGAUACCCGUGUAGUCCCUGUCUCUUAUAC